GCGUCGUUCGCUGACGGCUCCUUUGGCAAUUCGCUGUUCUGUCAGCGCCUCCCUGAGCGACGGCCGGCGUGGAGGAGGCCCUCCCGGCCCACGGAAGCGCGAGCCGGGAAGGAGAGCCGGCGAGAUCUCGCCCUCGUGACUGUCAGGAAUCACUGCCUCCACCCGUGUGGUCACCCAGCCAGAACAAGUGAGGAGACUUGGUUGGUAGACAGCUCAAAUCAGCGCUUGUCUAUCGUCAGACACUGAAGCCCUUCCAGCUCCACGUUUUGCAGAAUGUAAAGAGGACUGACACCGAAGAGACACCUGAAAAAAUGUACAGCGUAUGGAAAGGCAUUCAAAGAGAAACAACUCUUUAUCCCUACCAAAAAACUUCAGAACAGUUAAAAAUUCUCAAGUGCAUUGUGAACAUGGGAAGGAUUUUACCUUUGUGUUCAUUUUGAUAAAGUUCAAGUACAUCCAUACCUUCAAAUGGCCCUACAAAUGUGUUAACAUGAGAAAGCCCCUACCCAGAGCUCCACCCCUCUUUGAGAACCAGAAUGUUCUCUUCACAGAGAAAGACCUUACAAAGGCGGGGCGUAAGGCCUAGCCUUGAGCAAAAGUUUGUAAUAUUCUUUCCUGUACCAACCAUGUUCAUAUUUUACAAAGUACUCAUAAGUGUGUGAAAUGUGGGGCACUUGCAUUCAGAGCUCUGCUCUCAUCAGCAACAGCAAAUUCAUGGCAGGGAAUGACUAUACAAAUGUAGUAACUGCAUGGAAGCUUUCAGUAAGAUAUAAAACCGUAUUCUUCAGAAUUUAUAUCAGAGACAGGCCUAACAAGUGCAGCUACGUUGGAAAGCCUCUUCUCACAGGUUAAAUUCAAUUUAGCUCAAGCAAGUUACUACAUUGUGAAUGUAGU